GCUUUUUAAGCGAUCCAAGUUUGUUUUAGGCCCAAAAUUAUAGUUUUAAUAUUUUUCAUAAAUUUCUAUUUUGUUUCUUUCUUUUUUUUAUUAAAAGCACAUUAGGGUUUCUUUCUUUAUAUUUUAUUUUUGUUUUGAAUUAAAAGUCCAUUAGGGUUUAUUUUUCUGUAUUUAAACACUCUUGUGAGUGGCUGUCAUGAGUAUCUUUGAUUUAAUAAAAU
rnacentral:lncRNA from 1 species